GGAAGACGGCCUUCUGGGUUGUAAACUGCUUUUAUACAAGAACAAAAGGUUUCUGCGGAAAAGAUUGCGUGUAUUGUAUGAAUAAGCACCGGCUAACUCCGUGCCAGCAGCCGCGGUAAUACGGAGGGUGCAAGCGUUGUCCGGAUUUAUUGGGUUUAAAGGGUGCGCAGGCGGCUUGAUAAGUCAGUGGUGAAAUACGACCGCUCAACGGUCGAGGUGCCAUUGAUACUGUCAGGCUUGAGUCGAGUCGAGGUAAGCGGAAUUUAUGAUGUAGCGGUGAAAUGCGUAGAUAUCAGGAGGAACACCGGAGGCGAAGGCGGCUUGCUGGACAGACACUGACGCUGAGGCGCGAAAGCUAGGGGAGCAAACGGGAUUAGAUACCCCGGUAGUCCUAGCCGUAAACGAUGGGUACUUGGUGUGGGGGGUGAUGAAGUCCCUCCGUGCCGGCGAUAACUCGUUAAGUACCCCGCCUGGGGAGUACGAUCGCAAGAUUGAAACUCAAAGGAAUUGACGGGGGCCCGCACAAGCGGUGGAGCAUGUGGUUUAAUUCGACGCAACGCGAAGAACCUUACCUGGGUUUGACAUCCCGGUCGUAUCCCAUGGAAACAUGGGAGUCAGUUCGGCUGGACCGGUGACAGGUGCUGCAUGGCUGUCGUCAGCUCGUGUCGUGAGAUGUUGGGUUAAGUCCCGCAACGAGCGCAACCCUUGUCCUUAGUUGCC
rnacentral:rRNA from 1 species